GACGAACGCUGGCGGCGUGCUUAAAACAUGCAAGUCGAACGAAGUGGCGAACGGGUGAGUAAUACGUGGGUAACCUGCCCUCCUUUUUGGGAUAAGCCUUGGAAACGGGGUCUAAUACCGAAUAAAGGGGGAUGGGCUCGCGGCCUAUCAGCUUGUUGGUGGGGUGAUGGCCUACCAAGGCGGUGGCGGGUGGCCGGCCUGAGAGGGUGACCGGCCACAUUGGGAUGGCGAUACGGCCAAGACUGCUACGGGGGGCAGCAGGGGGGGAUGGUGCACAAUGGGGAAAAGCCUAAUGCAGCGACGCCGCGUGGGGGAUGAAGGCUUUCGGGUUGUAAACCUCUUUCGCUGUCAAACGGGUAGGUGGAGAAGAAGCGCCGGCUAACUACGUGCCAGCAGCCGCGGUAAUAC
rnacentral:rRNA from 1 species